rnacentral:rRNA from 1 species
GACGAACGCUGGCGGCGUGCUUAACACAUGCAAGUCGAACGGUGAAGCGCUUGCCUUUUUGGUGGGUGUGGAUGAGUGGCGAACGGGUGAGUAACACGUGAGUAACCUGCCCUCUUCUUCUGGAUAACCUCAUGAAAGUGGGGCUAAUACGGGGUAUUCCGGGUCUGUCGCAUGGCGGGUUUGGGAAAGAUUGCGCCUUUGGGUGUUUUCGGUGGGGGAUGGGCUCGCGGCCUAUCAGCUUGUUGGUGGGGUGAUGGCCUACCAAGGCGGUGACGGGUAGACGGCCUGAGAGGGUGGACGGCCACACGGGGACUGAGACACGGCCCAGACUACUGCGGGAGGCAGCAGUGGGGAAUAUUGCACAAUGGGCGCAAGCCUGAUGCAGCGACGCCGCGUGAGGGAUGGAGGCCUUCGGGUUGUGAACCUCUUUCGCCAGUGAAGCAGGCCUGCUCCUGUGUGGGUGGGUUGACGGUAGCUGGAUAAGAAGCGCCGGCUAACUACGUG